GACGAACGCUGGCGGCGUGCUUAACACAUGCAAGUCGAACGGAAAGGCCUUUUCGGCGGUACUCGAGUGGCGAACGGGUGCGUAACACGUGGGUGAUCUGCCCUGCACUCUGGGAUAAGCCUGGGAAACUGGGUCUAAUACCGGAUAGGACCGCACUUUAGUGUGUGUGGUGGAAAGUUUUUUCGGUGUAGGAUGAGCCCGCGGCCUAUCAGCUUGUUGGUGGGGUAAUGGCCUACCAAGGCGGCGACGGGUAGCCGGACUGAGAGGUUGGUCGGCCACAUUGGGACUGAGAUACGGCCCAGACGCCUACGGGAGGCAGAAGUGGGGAAUACUGCACAAUGGGCGCAAGCCUGAUGCAGCGACGCCGCGUGGGGGAUGACGGCCUUCGGGUUGUAAACUCCUUUCGCCAGGGACGAAGCGUUUUGUGACGGUACCUGGAGAAGAAGCACCGGCUAACUACGUG
rnacentral:rRNA from 1 species